CCUCCAUCACCUCCCUCCACCUCCACGAAACAUAAAGCAGCAGCUGCAGCGUAACUCUUCACUCUGAUACAUGCUUCAAUAUAAAUACUGUAGUGAGGAAAAACACACACACACACACACACACACACACACACACACACACACACACACACACACACCAGUGAAGCCCUUUAGACUCUCUACCAGAACCUGUGACCUUCAUCAGGUGAGUGUGACGUUCACUCUGGUCAGUCUGAACAUGAACACUGUGAAGACUCGAGUGCAUCAGAUACAUUCAGCUGCACCAUGACAGACGAUCCGUUUCACCAGAACCACAACUCAAAGAGAAAACGGGAAAUAAAGUUAUUAUAUUUGAGUUGUUAUCUAACGUGUCACUGGACUAGAGAACAUUUGUUUCUCGUCCGUCCAGCUCAUUUUCUUUUCAGUCUUUUAAACUUCUACUGAGUUGAGGUGACGUGUGAACUCGUCCAGCGCCGCUCGGACACCCAGAGGUUUGUUCUGUCCACUUCUGUCCGUGUCAGGAAAUUAGAUAUUAAAAAUGAUGAUACUUCUUAACUUUAUUUACCAUUUCAGGAUUUUAAAUUUCAAAGCACUUUUUCACAAAUUCAGUUUGUUAUUUAAUUUCCGUUUUUACCUUUAACCUUCAACUGAUGACGACAUAACGACUGUUAUCAGGGACGUGUAUAAACCUCUGAGAGCUUCAUCUGAUGACCACACAUUUUCUGGUUCAGGAACAAAGAUAAAUAAGUCGGACCCUCCUACAGAUCGUGUUAACGUCCAGGUUUGUCCAGCAGCUGAUGAUGAACUGUAGUUUCUCUCAGACGUGCAUCUGCAGAGUGAACUGUCCAUUUAAAUCGUAGAAAAGGUUUCUACAAACACUCCAUUCAGGAUGAAAUUAAUCUGAUGUUCUCAGUGGAAAAUACUUUGAUAUUCUAACUGUUCCCAGUCUUUAUGCUAAGCUAAGCUAAACCAAGCUAAGCUAACCAGCUGCUGACUGUCAGACAGGAUGAGAAGAAACUGAUGUACUGUGUGUGUGUGUGUGUGUGUGGUUGUGUGUGUGUGUGUGUGUGUGUGACUGCAGCAUAAUGUGCAGUUAAACAGAAAUCAGUGUGUAUUGACACGGCGGUACAUCACGCAGCUCUGACUGGAAUCUGUCGCUGACGUCUGCUGAAGCUUACGUGAACGCUGUUGGACUCUGAGGUGCAGCCGUGAGAGUGUUCUCCUGUCGGUUCUGUCCAGCUGAACAGAACCGACAGGCUGCAGCCGUGAGAGUGUUCUCCUGUCGGUUCUGUCCAGCUGAACAGAACCGACAGGCUGCAGCCGUGAGAGUGUUCUCCUGCAGCCUGUCGGUUCUGUUCAGCUGAACAGAACCGACAGGCUGCAGCCGUGAGAGUGUCCUCCUGUCGGUUCUGUUCAAGCUAAAGCUGCUAAACAACUUAAUCAGCUGAGACUUGAUAUAAAACAUCAGAUGUCUCUGUGCAGCUCGUCUGUCCAUCAGCACGGAGGAGAUGAUGACUGAAUGUUGACUUUGGGUGAACUGUUCCUUUAACGUGCCUGAUGUUUGUCGCUCUGACUGGCUGUUGGCAGGUUGUGUGUCUGUAUGAUCAGUACCUUCUUCUCCAGCACGUCGCUGCUUCUAUAAAAGUCAAUGGAGGGAACUCGUCUUCAGAGUCAAACACCAAGAACCAACUGAGCACCACACACACACACGUUUACUGUACAGUACACACAACUUUAGUAUAACACAAUCACUCACACACGUCUACCAUCUACUGUAACUGGUACCUGUUCACUAACCCGCCUCAGUCACUUCAUCUGUUUCUUAGUUCUGUAGAUUACAAUCUGUACAUCUCCAAAACAACCACACACACACACACACACACACACACACACACACACACACACACACACACACA